CCGCUGCUGGCAGCCCCUGUCCAGUGUCCGGGUCCCGAAUUUUAGGAGCCACUGCUGCCCCCUUGGUCGCCUGAAACCCUCUCUCCUUCCUGCCUCCGAUCAUAACCCUGCAAUCUGGCCCUAAUCGCCGCCGGACUCUGUCAUGUGAAGGCCUGGCCCACACCUGCCUUCGCAGCCCACGGAACCCUGGCAGCCCCACCAGCUCGGAUGAGGGGCCAGGCCGCUGCCUCGGGCGCCCUGUGGAUUUCGAUUCACUGCUGCUGCUGCUGCUGCUGCUGCUGCUGCUGCUGCUGCUGCUGCUGCUGCUGCUGGGGCGCCAGCGAUGUGUGACCUCGUGGCUGGAUGUGGGUCCUCGGGCUGGGCUGUGCCUUGCCCCAUGCUGGUGCAGGGAAAAUUCUUCAGGUACGCUUGGCGGUUGCUGAGUUCCUCGCUAACGCCUCUCGCUGCUCCUGGACCCAGUGCAACCAGGACCCGCACCACCACGUGCACUACAUGAAGGUGGGGAAGGCAGCCCCACCUGCAGCAGCCUGGCCUGCAUCUGCAUCUACCAGUUGGACUCCUUCCUGCAACCCAUGCGCACCUACCUGGGCCUGGAGAGCUGUGAUGAGGUGCUGAGGCUCGUGACCCCUCGGGGCCUCUGGCCUUCCUGCUGGCCAGCAAGUAGUUCCUGUCGAAGAAGGGACAGCAGCCAUCCCAGGGCAGUGACCGCGGGACCCAGGUUGGGGCCCUCCCACGCCAGUGACAACUUUCCCGUAGAACACCUCACCAUGGGCAGCCGCAACCCCAGCGAUGUGGCUGGCGGCCCUUAGAACUGCCUCACCAGCCUGACCCAGGACCGGGGCGGGGAUGCGCUUCAGUCCUGCCCUACAUGGACUCAUGAAAAGCGUCUCGCUGUUGGGAACUCUUCCUCCACCGUAUAAAGAAGGCCGGGCUAGCUUGCUGAAGAGAUGGGGAUCCACCUCGAGCCAGCACCAAGCAGCAGACACGUGCAGAAGAGCUACUCUGUGUCCUGUGUGGGGCGGUACAGGGAGCGGAAGGGCAGCCAUUCCCAGCGGUCCGGGGCAGAUCCUGGCGCAGAUCCUGCAGCAAGCCUCGCUGCCAGGUUACACCGCCGCGCUCCAUGGCAUCUUUCAGAAUACAAUGGUGGACAUUUCCAUGCCAAAAUAGAAGUAAUGGGUAAGUCAAAACUAAAAGUAAGCUGUGAGUUACUAAGCCUCGAGAAUACAUUUCUCUGGUUCAACAUUCUGCCCUCCAGGACUGCUAGGGAAGGAGUCCCACCUUCUCAAACCCCUGUGAUCGUGGGCCUGCCCUACGCUUUGCUGGGCUGGAGUUGGGCUCCCAGGGCUUUGGGAGGUAGCUGUCUGGCCUCUUAAAAUUAAGGUGAUGAUUUUUCCCUUUUUGAAACUAAAGAGAAAGCCCUGGUAAUCCAUGAAUCCCCUUUGGGGGUCAUUUUCUCCUUGUUUUGAAGAAUAGCAUCUGGUUUCUAUUGAAGUGGCUGAUAGGUCCACAGCUCACAUUCAUAAUAAACUUAUCAAAGAGUUGCUGGGCCACACCCUUACUGUUCUCUUUUGAACAGUGCUUUCUUAUUUUUUACAAUAUGGAUAGGCAGGAUUUUCCAAAUCUUUUAGUUUUAGUUUCAUUUUGUUUAAUAAUUCUUUUUUUAAUUGAAGCAUAGUGAAUUUAUAAUAUUGGGUGAGUUUCAGGUAUACAGCAUACUGAUUUUUUUUUUGCAGACUACAUUCCAUUAUAAGCUAUUACAAGAUAUUGGGUAUAAUUCCCUGCACUGUACAAUCUUGUUGCUUAUCUAUUUUAUGUGUAGUAAUUUGUAUCUGUUAAUCCCAUACUCCUUAAUUUGUCCCUCCUCCCUUCUUCUCCUCUUUGGUAACCACAGGCUUGUUUUCUGUGUCUGUGAGUCUGUUUCUGUAUCGCAUAUAGAUUCGUUUGUACUAUUUUUUAGAUUCAACAUAAAGUGGUAUAGUAUUUGUUUUUGACUUAUUUCACUAAUCAUAAUAUUCUCUAGGCUCAUCCAUGUUGCUGCAAAGGCAAUAUUUCAUUCUUUGUUAUGGCUGAGUAACAUUCUGGAAUAUAUAUGUAUUAUGUAUGUGUGUGUGUGUGUGUGUGUGUGUGUGUGUGUGUAUUCUUAAGCCAAUCUUUUGCUGAUAAGCACUUGGGUUUCUUCUGUGUCUUGGCUAUUGUAAAUAGUGCUGCUGUGAACAUUAGGGUGCAUGUAUCUUUUCAAAUUAGAGUUUUCAUUAUUUCCAGAUGUGUACCUAGGAGUGGAAUUGCUGGAUCAUGUGGUCUUUCUAGUUUUAGUUUUUUAAGGAACCUCCAUACAGUUCUCCAUUGUGGCUGCACCAAUUUACAUUCCCAUCAACAGUGUAAAAGGGUUCCUUUU
rnacentral:lncRNA from 1 species